rnacentral:rRNA from 1 species
CGGCGUGCUUAACACAUGCAAGUCGAACGGAAAGGCCCUGCUUUUGUGGGGUGCUCGAGUGGCGAACGGGUGAGUAACACGUGAGUAACCUGCCCUUGACUUUGGGAUAACUUCAGGAAACUGGGGCUAAUACCGGAUAGGAGCUCCUGCUGCAUGGUGGGGGUUGGAAAGUUUCGGCGGUUGGGGAUGGACUCGCGGCUUAUCAGCUUGUUGGUGGGGUAGUGGCUUACCAAGGCUUUGACGGGUAGCCGGCCUGAGAGGGUGACCGGCCACAUUGGGACUGAGAUACGGCCCAGACUCCUACGGGAGGCAGCAGUGGGGAAUAUUGCACAAUGGGCGGAAGCCUGAUGCAGCAACGCCGCGUGCGGGAUGACGGCCUUCGGGUUGUAAACCGCUUUCGCCUGUGACGAAGCGUGAGUGACAGUAAUGGGUAAAGAAGCACCGGCUAACUACGUGCCAGCAGCCGCGGUGAUACGUAGGGUGCGAGCGUUGUCCGGAUUUAUUGGGCGUAAAGGGCUCGUAGGUGGUUGAUCGCGUCGGAAGUGUAAUCUUGGGGCUUAACCCUGAGCGUGCUUUCGAUACGGGUUGACUUGAGGAAGGUAGGGGAGAAUGGAAUUCCUGGUGGAGCGGUGGAAUGCGCAGAUAUCAGGAGGAACACCAGUGGCGAAGGCGGUUCUCUGGGCCUUUCCUGACGCUGAGGAGCGAAAGCGUGGGGAGCGAACAGGCUUAGAUACCCUGGUAGUCCACGCUGUAAACGGUGGGUACUAGGUGUGGGGUCCAUUCCACGGGUUCCGUGCCGUAGCUAACGCUUUAAGUACCCCGCCUGGGGAGUACGGCCGCAAGGCUAAAACUCAAAGGAAUUGACGGGGCCCCGCACAAGCGGCGGAGCAUGCGGAUUAAUUCGAUGCAACGCGUAGAACCUUACCUGGGUUUGACAUGGAUCGGGAGUGCUCAGAGAUGGGUGUGCCUCUUUUGGGGUCGGUUCACAGGUGGUGCAUGGCUGUCGUCAGCUCGUGUCGUGAGAUGUUGGGUUAAGUCCCGCAACGAGCGCAACCCUUGUUCACUGUUGCCAGCACGUUAUGGUGGGGACUCAGUGGAGACCGCCGGGGUCAACUCGGAGGAAGGUGGGGAUGACGUCAAGUCAUCAUGCCCCUUAUGUCCAGGGCUUCACGCAUGCUACAAUGGCUGGUACAGAGAGUGGCGAGCCUGUGAGGGUGAGCGAAUCUCGGAAAGCCGGUCUCAGUUCGGAUUGGGGUCUGCAACUCGACCUCAUGAAGUCGGAGUCGCUAGUAAUCGCAGAUCAGCAACGCUGCGGUGAAUACGUUCCCGGGGCUUGUACACACCGCCCGUCAAGUCAUGAAAGUUGGUAACACCCGAAGCCGGUGGCCUAACCGUUGUGGGGGAGCCGUCGAAGGUGGGACUGGUGAUUAGG